rnacentral:rRNA from 1 species
AUGGCGAAGGGUGCGGGUUACGGGCUUGGGUUCGCGUGCUUCGCUCUUGUGGCGGCGAUGGCCGGCGCGGCGCAGUUCAAGGUCGGCGGCGACAGCGGGUGGAGCGUGGCCGGCGCCAGCAAGGAGUCGUACAACACUUGGGCGAUGAAAAACAGGUUCCAGGUCGGAGACACACUAGUGUUCGUGUACCCCAAGGACAAGGAUUCUGUGCUGGUGGUGCAGCCGGCGGACUACAACGCCUGCAACACGUCGUCGUACGACAAGAAGUUCGCCGACGGCAACACCGUCUUCAGCCUGGACCGCCCCGGCGCCUUCUUCUUCGUCAGCGGCGUCGAGGCCAACUGCCGCGCCAACGAGAAGCUCAUCGUCAUGGUCCUCGCCGGCCGCAACGACACAGGCACCGGCGCCGCGCCGCCGCCCGCCGCUCCGGCACCGGCAACGUCAUCUCCACCUCCGGCCGCUUCCAGCCCGCCUCCGGCAACGCCCCCCUCACCACUCCCCGCGGCGCCCGCUCCUAGCGCGCCUAGUCCCACCUCCGCUCCUCCUCCGGCCUCCGCUUCCGCCCCGCCACCGGCCUCUUCACCUGCAUCUGCUCCUCCGACCUCGUCGCCGACUGCUCCGGCGUCCCCGCCUCUCCCCACUCCGUCGGCCCCGACCGGCGCCCCGCCGAUGGCGCCCUCAGCGAACGCUCCCGCCGGCGCGGACGGAGGAAGCACGAACUCAACGGGCACGUCAUCAUCCCCGCCCCCCGCCGGCUCCAACGAGCGGAACGGCGCCACGCUCACGGUUACGGGCGCCGCGGGUCUCGCCGGCUCGGCCGCGGCCUGCAUCGUCGGCUUCGCCAUGCUCGCGCUCUGA